rnacentral:rRNA from 1 species
GCACAAGCACGCCCCGUGAGUAUGAGGUUUCGGGCUUAAACUUCUUUGUUCGGGAAAAAAGUGCCGUUCCACAAGGAGGCAUUGGACGGUACCUAACACAACGCCACGGCUAACAACGGGGCUACAGUUGCGGUAAUACAUAGGUGGCAAGCGUUGUCCGGAAUUAUUGGGCGUAAAGAGGUGAAAGGCGGUCUUUUAACUCUGAUGUGAAAUCUCGGGCUUCAACUCCGAACGGCCAUUGAAGACUGGGAAACUUGAGUUGUAAAGAGGAAAUUGGAAUUCCACGUGUAGCGGUGAAAUGCGUAAAGAUGUGGAGGAACACCAGUGGCAAAGGCAACUCUCUGGUCUGUAACUGACGCUAAGGCGCGAAACCCUGGGGAGCAAACAGGAUUACAUACCCUGGUAGUCCACGCCGUAAACGAUGAUUGCUAGGUGUUAGGGGUUUCUAUGCCCUUAGUGCCGAAGUUAACACAUUAAGCACUCCGCCUGGGGAUUUCCGACCGCAAGGUUGAAACUCAAGGAUUUUUUUGCGGGG